UGGGGAAUCUUGGACAAUGGGGGCAACCCUGAUCCAGCAAUGCCGCGUGGGUGAAGAAGGCCUUCGGGUUGUAAAGCCCUUUCGGCAGGGAAGAAAUCGGCGGGGCGAAUAACCCUGCUGGAUGACGGUACCUGCAGAAGAAGCACCGGCUAACUACGUGCCAGCAGCCGCGGUAAUACGUAGGGUGCGAGCGUUAAUCGGAUUUACUGGGCGUAAAGCGUGCGCAGGCGGCCCGUUAAGACAGGUGUGAAAUCCCUGGGCUCAACCUAGGAAUUGCGCUUGUGACUGGCGGGCUCGAGUACGGUAGAGGGGGGUGGAAUUCCUGGUGUAGCAUGAAAUGCGUAGAGAUCAGGAGGAACACCGAUGGCGAAGGCAGCCCCCUGGGCCUGUACUGACGCUCAUGCACGAAAGCGUGGGGAGCAAACAGGAUUAGAUACCCUGGUAGUCCACGCCCUAAACGAUGGGUACUAGCCGUUUGGUGCGCGAUAGCGCUGAGUGGCGAAGCUAACGCGUGAAGUACCCCGCCUGGGGAGUACGGCCGCGAGGUUGAAACUCAAAUGAAUUGAC
rnacentral:rRNA from 1 species